rnacentral:rRNA from 1 species
UGGCGGACGGGUGAGUAACACGUAGAUAACCUGCCCCGAUGUGGGGAAUAACUAACCGAAAGGUUAGCUAAUACCGCAUAAGUUCUCAUACGUUGGUAUGAGAGGAAACGCCUUCACGGGUGGCGUUGGGAGGGGUCUGCGGCGGAUUAGCUAGUUGGUGAGGUAACGGCCCACCAAGGCGACGAUCCGUAGCUGGUCUGAGAGGACGACCAGCCACACUGGGACUGAGACACGGCCCAG